rnacentral:lncRNA from 1 species
UUUUCUUUUCUUUUCUUUUUCCUUUCUCUCUUUACUUUCUUUUCUUUUAAAGAUUUAUUUAUUUAUUUGAGAGAAAGAGAAAGAGAUAGAGAAAGAAUCCUGAGCAGACUCCCCACUGAGUGUGGAGCCUCACACAUGACGUGGAGCUCAAUCUCAUGACCCCAGGAUCAUGUGCUGAGCUGAAAUCAAGAGUCAGAUGCUCAAGUCACUGAGUGACCCAUGCGCCCCUACCAUAUUUAAAUAUGUAUUGGUAGAGCAUCAGGCACAGACAGUGGGUUAAACAUACUCAUCCGUUUUGGCUUACUCUUGAAUCUUAUUAAAACUAAAAUAAUUCUAUAUAUGUAUAUAUACAUAUAAAUACAUAUAUAUAUAUUUUUAGAGACUUAAUUUAUUCACGAGAAACACAGAAAGAGAGGCAGAGACACAGGCAGAGGGAGAAGCAGGCUCCCUGAGGGAGCCCGAUUUGGAACUUGAACCCAGGACCCCAGGAUCACCACCUGAGCCAAAGGCAAACGCUCAACUGCUAAGCCACCCAGGUGUCCCCAUAUAUAUCUUUUUAAUAAUACAACCAGGAAAGGUGGUAAUAACAGCAUUCUGAAAGCUAGCAAACAGGUGGAUAGUAACCACUCACUAAGUGGACCUGAGAAAGCUGGACCAGAAACUGGAGGUGGGCUAGAUGUGCACCACCAAUUUAUACUGUAGGGUCAUCAGAAAGCUCAGCGAUUGGUGAUGACAGGUGCCUCAGGGAGUGGGGUAAGUUGAGGUCAGAAUGGUAGUGGUGGUUGAACUAUGUUUAAGAAGCAGUUGACAUUCCCUUCCUUCCCCAACUGUCACCUGGUGACAACCCCUACUUCAUCUCAGCAGAAGCCUGGAAGUUUAUCCUGUACUGGGGAUACAGAAGGUCUCUGAAUUGGGGGAUGUACCGGGCAAUUUUCAAGGUGGGAUACUACAUAAAGACAGGAUUCCUCUAGUCUACUUUUCACCUUCAUCUCCCGAACAAACAUUGGCAGACAGAUUCUUACCCUCCAGGCAAGAGCUUGGAGUUUUCUUAGAGGAUGUGAUUAAUCCAUGAAGGAAUCUUUAAAGAUACUGACACUACAAGUUCCCCAACAACUGGCUCAGUGAGAUUAUUACAAGUCACCAUCAAUGAGUGCUCCCUCCCUAGCUCUGUCCCCUUCAUGUUCAGAACUUCAGUUUUAGGUUUCCUGCUCUUACAUAUGAGCAGAGCACCAAAGAUUAUCAAAUACUUGGGGAAAACCAGAAACAUUCUAGAGGGAUCGGGAACUAUGAAGGAAAAAGAAAAUAUCAUUAUCAAUUAUUAUUAAAAACCUUAUGGAGGGGCACUUGGAUGGCUCAGUCGGUUGAGUGUCUGACUCUUGAUUUCAGCUCAGAUGUUGAUCUCAGGGUCCUGGGACUGAGCCCUGUGUCAGGCUUCAUGCUCAGCAGGGAGUCUGCUUGAGAAUUUUCUCUCGACCUCUUUACCCCUUCCCUAGCUCUACUCUCAAAUGAAUAAAUAAAUCUUGGGGGGGAAAAACCCUCAUGGAUAUAAGAGAAUAUACUGUAUCAUGAAGCAAGAAAAUGAUGCUGUAAAAAAGGACACUCAAAACAAAACAAAAAACCUCUUAGAAAUUAAAAGCAUAAGCACAUAAAUAAACAACUCAGCUGAAUUAGCAUGACAUCUGAUAUAAACUGAUAGAAUCAUGGAACAUGAAUAUUUAGACAAUUAGUAAAUAUUUUAGUAUUGGAUGAAUGGUUAAGUACAUAAAAAACUCUCAAGAGUAACAAACAUACAAAAAUAAAUAAGUGAAAGGAAAAUUAUUAACUCUAUGGAUAAGUUGUGCAAGAAAAAAAAUACAGUUUAGCAUAGACCCCAUUUCUGAAUAGCAUAUAUACAGUUGAGCCUUGAACAAUACCGUGAUUAGGGGCAUUGGUCCCUCUGUGUGGUUGAAAAUCCAUGUAUAACUUUUGACUCUCAAAACCUAACUACUAAUAGCCUACUGUUGACUUGAAGCCUUACUGAUAACUUAAACAGUUGAUUAACACAUUAUAUAUGUUACAUGUAUACUAUAUUCUUACAAUAAAGUAGGCUAGAAAAAUGUAUAUUAAGGAAACUGAUGGGAAGAGAAAAUACAUUUACAGUAGUGUUCUGUAUUAAUCAGAGAAACCUGCAUACAAGUAGACAUGCAUAGUUCAAACUCAUGUUGUUCAAAGGUCAACUGCAUAGUCAAUAUAAACCUUGGAUAUUUUUUCUUUUCUUUCUUUCUCUCUCUCUCUCUUUCCCUCCCCCUCCCUUCCUUCCUGUUUUUAAAGUAGGCUCCAUGCCCAGCAUGGAUCCCAGAGCCCAAUGCAGGGCUUGAACUGAUGACCCUGAGAUCAAGAUCUUAGUUGAAGUCAAGAGUUGGACGCUCAACUGACUGAGCCAUCCAGGUGCCACAAAACAAUGAAUAUUUUUCUAAUCAAAACCAAGAUAUAAUUAUAUUGUGAGGAUAGAAAUUGAUUGUGCAUGGUGUGGAUAAGAAGAAUAAAGAACUAAGUCUUCAUCUUCCAUAGAGGAAAGUCAAUGUACAAUGCCCCAAACUAAAGAAAUCAGGAGGUGGUAAUUCUUGCUUGCCAUUAAAGUAUGUGGAGAAAACACCAGGCAAAGAGUUGAAAGUGGUUUCUUUGGGUAAGAGGAACUGAAGAACAGGAGAACUGGUACCUGUUCUUUUUCUUGAGAAACUUUGCAAAAGCAGCAGGUCCUGGGAUGCCUGGGUGGCUCAGCGACUGAGCGUCUGCUUUUGGCUCAGGGCAUGAUCCCGAAGUCCUGGGAUCAAGACCCACAUCAGGCUCCCUGCAUGGAGACUGCUUCUCCCUCUGCC